rnacentral:rRNA from 1 species
CAAUAGCGUAUAUUAAAGUUGUUGCAGUUAAAAAGCUCGUAGUUGGAUUUCUGGUUGAAGCGACCGGUCGGGCGUUGAUUCGUCUGCACUGGAGUCGGUUUUGGCCAUCCUCUAGGAAAGUGCGUCUGGUAUUAAGUUAUCGGGCGUAUGAUCCUGGUCUUUUACUGUGAAAAAAUUAGAGUGUUUAAAGCAGGCCUUCGCCUUGAAUACAUUAGCAUGGAAUAAUAAGAUAGGACUUUGGUCUAUUUUGUUGGUUUGCAGACCGAAGUAAUGAUUAAUAGGGAUAGUUGGGGGUAUUUAUAUUCCGUUGUCAGAGGUGAAAUUCUUAGAUUUUCGGAAGAUAAACUUAUGCGAAAGCAUUUACCAAGGAUGUUUNCAUUA